rnacentral:other from 1 species
CAGUCAUCAAAUAAUGAUGGUAAUAUAUCUGCAUGUGAGUUCUAUUAAGGCUCUCUGGAAAGUAUUUUGAAAGCGAGGAAUGAAAAUGCUCGGCAAGGUAAAAUGGUUCAAUGCGGAAAAAGGUUAUGGCUUCAUUGAAAGAGAAGAAGGUGGCGAUGUAUUCGUUCACUUUUCCGCAAUUCAAGAAGAAGGUUUCAAAUCUUUAGCUGAAGGUCAAGAAGUCGAAUUCGAUAUCGUUGAAGGCGCUCGUGGUCCUCAAGCUGCUAACGUUUACAAGCGUUAAUUAUAUUGAAAACUUCUACCCUGGUCUUAUGACCAGGGUUUU